CUGGACAGAGAGUCAGGAAGCCGAGUUCUUGGCCUCGUCUUGAACUCACGUGUGACUUCCAGCAAGCUCUUCCCUGGUUCGGCCUGUUGAUCAGCAAAAGGAGGGGGUAAGUUCAACAGGUCACUUUCCGCCUUUAAAACCUGAUGACGAUGGGCACUAUCCCUCAGGAGGACAACUUUGGCAGUCCCUACACAUUUAAAUGUGCACACCCACUGAUUUCUUGAAACGGGUCUAAGAAAUACACACAGAAGUGCACGAGACAGAUGCUUAGGAUGUUCACUGAAACACUGAGUGAUGAUGACUUAAGUGUCCACCAUCACAAGACUGUCUAAACGAGUUACAGCAUACCUACACCUUGGAUGGCAACGCAGCCUGGAAAAAAAGGAAGAAGGAAUCUCAGGCGCACCUAUGACGCAAGCCUCAGAGCAAAUUCCGCUCAGGAGAUCCAGGAAGCUCUGGCCUGGCCCUCCCUUCUAGAAAGGAAAGUCCAAGAGGGAUGCCACACCCAGAGGAGGGGAGAGAGGACAUGACAAUACCUCCAGGAAUGCAGAGCCCACGCAGGUAUAUACAGUGGUGUUUUCUGAAGGGGCAUGACAUGUGAUGAUUAUCACCCUGAUGACUGUUGGAAGGUGUGCUUUUGUGUUCCUGUGUUUGGACAUCGAUGAACAGUAAAAGACGUGACACACAUAAACAAAAUGCUUGGGGGCCUCUAUAAUUUUUAAGA
rnacentral:lncRNA from 1 species